ensembl:snRNA U6 U6 spliceosomal RNA
GUGCUCACUUCGGCAGCACAUAUACUAAAACUGGAACGCUGCAGAUGUUAGUAUGGCUCCUGCACAACAAUGACAUGCAGAUUUGUGAAGUGUUCCAUAUUUUU